rnacentral:rRNA from 1 species
AUACAGAGGGUGCGAGCGUUAAUCGGAAUUACUGGGCGUAAAGCGCGCGUAGGCGGCUUAUUAAGUCAGAUGUGAAAUCCCCGGGCUCAACCUGGGAACUGCAUCUGAUACUGGUAAGCUCGAGUUUUGGAGAGGGAAGUAGAAUUUCAGGUGUAGCGGUGAAAUGCAUAGAGAUCUGAAGGAAUACCAGUGGCGAAGGCGACUUCCUGGCCAAAAACUGACGCUGAGGUGCGAAAGCGUGGGUAGCAAACGGGAUUAGAUACCCGGGUAGUCC